CUUUGAUGCUGCUCACCUCACCGGUGACUGCGCGAGAUGCGUAGCCGGCUGGGGAUCGCUUUUCAGAAGGACUGCAGCCAACUUUGGGUGGAUGCAGCGGAGCGGAGGUUGCUUUCCCAGUACCACUGGUGCCGGUGUCCCGAGAGCACUCCGCAGCCUGCCGGCUCCCCAGCUCGCUGCACUGAACACCUGGCUUCCUGGGCACAGCAAAAGUCUUCCAAACCCGACACAAGCCCUGGAAAAACAUAGCAUGGCAUAAGGAGAAUGAACAACCGGAUCCUGCCUGGCCGGGCACGCGGGGAUGGGAAGCAGUCGCCUGACGUUCUCUGCGUUAAAGACGUCCUUGUCACAGCGCUGCAACCUGUGCUGCUUUGUUGUAGGAAACAACCUCUGGAAGGAAAUAGGCGUAGCUCCUGAUUACAGCCGGUUGGGAAUUUUACAAGAAAACAUCUUUCCACCGGAAAGAACGCGUGUUUCUCAAAACAGAGAUGUUUGGGGAAGUUGAGAGGCUCUGCCCUUGCUGGGCUCCAGGCUGAGAUUGAGCGGGUGGACGCCACCACUGAGGGGUAGCAGGUGCUGCGUGCCCUGGGGGCAGAGCUGGUAGAGGGGCUGCUCCCCUCACUUUCAGAAUGGCC
rnacentral:lncRNA from 1 species